GUUACAGUGGUUCAGUUGCAUCGAAAAGACGCAACCAUGUCCAUUAGGCAUUGGAUGCUAUGGAUGUUGAGGAUGGAUUGUGCUCAAUAUUCUGGAUAUGGUGAGAGACGCAAUCAGAAAUCUAAUUCGUGCAAAUGGUGGGUCUGACUUAACUAAGGAUUGGAGCAAUAUUUCGGACACAGUGAGCUUCAUGAAUUAGAGACCAAGUUUUGGGUGCACCAUGAUUAGAGAAUCAUUGGAUAAGAGUUAUCCACUCAUCAGUUGACCCAUCACCAAUAACUGUUAGGUGUUGCUCCUAGAUUGAUUUUGAUGAUUACAAAGCAGAUUGAAGGGAUACAAAUAAUUUUAAAAUGAAAAAGUCCCUAUGCUCUUCAAGGACAAAAUUGUAAUUUCACUAAAAUCUUGAUUUGAUAGUACCAUUUGGUAGAAUAAAUGAUUUGAAAUCUAUUGGUGAAAAUUUCAUUGUGUUUGGACUUAUAUUUUUGAAGUUAUGAAGGUUUGAAGUGCAUGAGUCGACUCAUGAGUCAACUCAUGGCACUGUGAGCUGAUUGGCACGCAAAAAUUCUUCUUGGCACGCUAGUUUUCUGGCUUGGCAGGACCUGUGAGUCGACUCAUGAGUCGACCCACAAGGCAUGAGUCGACUCAUGAGUCGACCCCUGCUAAUUUGAGCCAAGAAUUUCCAGAAAAGCAUUCUCUGGUUUUUGCAACAGAGGUUGACUCAUGAGUCGACCCCUGAAGCAUGAGUCGACUCAUGAGUCGACCCCUGCGACGGGAAAUGUCAGCAAUGGCUAUUUUUUUUGCCCGUUUUAAUUACCAUUUAUGCU
rnacentral:lncRNA from 1 species